rnacentral:rRNA from 1 species
UUGCAAACUGGAGAUGGCGACCGGCGCACGGGUGAGUAACACGUAUCCAACCUGCCGAUAACUCGGGGAUAGCCUUUCGAAAGAAAGAUUAAUACCCGAUGGCAUAAUAGAACCGCAUGGUUUGAUUAUUAAAGAAUUUCGGUUAUCGAUGGGGAUGCGUUCCAUUAGGCAGUUGGUGGGGUAACGGCCCACCAAACCUUCGAUGGAUAGGGGUUCUGAGAGGAAGGUCCCCCACAUUGGAACUGAGACACGGUCCAAACUCCUACGGGAGGCAGCUG